AACGAACGCUGGCGGCAGGCUUAACACAUGCAAGUCGAGCGCCCCGCAAGGGGAGCGGCAGACGGGUGAGUAACGCGUGGGAAUCUACCCAUCUCUACGGAAUAACGCAUGGAAACGUGUGCUAAUACCGUAUACGUCCUUCGGGAGAAAGCUUUAUCGGAGAUGGAUGAGCCCGCGUAGGAUUAGCUAGUUGGUGGGGUAAAGGCCUACCACGGCGACGAUCCAUAGCUUGUCUGAGAGGAUGAUCAGCCGCACUGGGACUGAGACACGGCCCAGACUCCUACGGGGGGCAGCAGUGGGGAAUAUUGGACAAUGGGCGCAAGCCUGAUCCAGCCAUGCCGCGUGAGUGAUGAAGGCCCUAGGGUUGUAAAGCUCUUUCACCGGUGAAGAUAAUGACGGUAACCGGAGAAGAAGCCCCGGCUAACUUCGUGCCAGCAGCCGCCGUAAAAC
rnacentral:rRNA from 1 species